rnacentral:rRNA from 1 species
AGAGUUUGAUCAUGGCUCAGGAUGAACGCUAGCUACAGGCUUAACACAUGCAAGUCGAGGGGAAACGACAUCGAAAGCUUGCUUUUGAUGGGCGUCGACCGGCGCACGGGUGAGUAACGCGUAUCCAACCUGCCCAUCACUUGGGGAUAACCUUGCGAAAGUAAGACUAAUACCCAAUGAUAUCUCUAGAAGGCAUCUGAAAGAGAUUAAAGAUUUAUCGGUGAUGGAUGGGGAUGCGUCUGAUUAGCUUGUUGGCGGGUAACGGCCACAAGCAACGAUCAGUAGGGUUCUGAGAGGAACGGUCCCCACAUUGGAACUGAGGACACGGUCCAAACUCCUACGGCAGGCA